rnacentral:lncRNA from 1 species
UGUAUUUUUAGGUCUCUACUGUUAGUGUUAUCUGUAUGCACCAUGGGUCUGAGAGUAACGCAGUUUCAAUUCUCUGUAUGUAUGUACUGUACAUGUGGAAGAAUUGACAAUAAAGCAGACUUGACUUGAUAUACAUUGUCAGAUAUUAGUGAUUUGUUUAAUUAUCAUUGAAAUGUUAUAAUUAUUACAUUUUUUCUUUGCAAUUAAUAGUGGCCCAAUGGUGAUCUUUCACCCUGUGUGUAGCUAAAUGGAGGAGCGGGAUCGCAGUCGCUCACCGUCUCGCAGGACCAGCAGAGUAGAGCAGGUGGUGGGACGCUGGCUUCGCCGCUCCAGAGAGUCCAUCAGCCGAGAGCGUGUGCUAGAAGAUGGGCAAGUUGCCGACAAUGGCUCCCAGGAGCAGAGGAGCUGUCCAAUUAGAGUCACUUUUAAGAUCCCACUUGACCCCACCCUUAACUCCCAUGGCUUUACUGUCUCAACACACACUCCACCCCAGGGAUUGAAUAUAUAUGUUGUGUCUGAUUGGCUAAAAGUAUACUAAACAUGUAUAUGUGAAACAGAAAGUUUUAAAACAUGACAAAUUUAUGUAAUGAUUUGCAUAUAUAUAUAUAACAAGCACAUUAUUCUGCAUAUGUGCUCUUAUAUAUAUUUCUUUGUUGUUUUAUUUAUUUUUUUUGUUUUUUUUUUUUAGCACUACAAUCUUUAUCUGGACUGUUUGUUCACCUCACUGGUUUGCACUCUAUCCUGCCCAUGUGCCUUGCGCUGCUUUAUUUAACUUUAUUUUUAUUAUUUUUUUACAUGCCCUUAUUUGUAUAGUUGUAUUUUAGAUUUUAUCUGUAUCUAUCUGUAUUUUUAGGCUCUACUGUUAGUGUUAUCUGUAUGCACCAUGGGUCUGAGAGUAACGCAGUUUCAAUUCUCUGUAUGUAUGUACUGUACAUGUGGAAGAAUUGACAAUAAAGCAGACUUGACUUGAUAUACAUUGUCAGAUAUUAGUGAUUUGUUUAAUUAUCAUUGAAAUGUUAUAAUUAUUACAUUUUUUCUUUGCAAUUAAUAGUGGCCCAAUGGUGAUCUUUCACCCUGUGUGUAGCUAAAUGGAGGAGCGGGAUCGCAGUCGCUCACCGUCUCGCAGGACCAGCAGAGUAGAGCAGGUGGUGGGACGCUGGCUUCGCCGCUCCAGAGAGUCCAUCAGCCGGUACUAUUUUUUAAUUUGAGAAUGGUUGUGUGAACAUGUAUCUUUGCUUUUUUCUUUUUUUCUUUUGUGUUUGAAAAGCAUCAACCUCUCUCUGUCUGUACAUAGAGAGCGUGUGCUAGAAGAUGGGCAAGUUGCCGACAAUGGCUCCCAGGAGCAGAGGAGCUGUCCAAUUAGAGUCACUUUAAGAUCCCACUGACCCCACCCUUAACUCCCACUGGCUUACUGUCUCAACACACACUCCACCCCACGGUGCUGGACGUGACAGAAGGUACAUUACACACACAAUCAUCUCUAAAACAUUUAUCAGCUCAAAUGGGUUCUACACUGAUAAAAAAUGAUGUAGGAACAAUUUUCACUCCAAAAUUGUAGAAUUAAUUACACAACAUCAAGUAAAUUGAAUUAAACUGAAAUUGUGUUUUCUUGUAAAACCUACUCCAAUAAUAUUUGUUCUAUUUUCAACUUUGAAAAACAUUUUUAAAGUAUGGUAAACUUCUUUCACAGUCAAUUGUUAAUUAAGUAUUAUAAGAAUUAUAUUAUUAUUAUUUUGGAUUUUACAGUUUGCACUCUGAGCCUUCUUGGCAUCCUUUUCUUUUCAUGGAAUGACAGCACUGAAGUGAAGUACUAGAUCUUAGCCAGGUGGCCUUAGUUACCUUCAGAGUUCAUCUGUGGCACUUCCAAAUUAGCUCACAUUAUUUACAGGGUAACAGGCAGGGCACCAUUGGCCAUACAGUUCUGGAGAUUAUCUUUUUUUGGGAGAUUUGAGAGCUUAAAUCCAUUAGAAUUUAUUUUGGAAUAAUACCACUGUUGGAAUCUCUAGCUUGAUGGUAGGAAAAUGCCCAUCCUAUGAACUUCAUGAAUAUGUCAUCGCAAUAUGAAGGGAAUGGCAGGGUCUGUUGAGGCAUUGUGUGGCACAGGUCUAAGGCAGCACUCUAAACAGUCUGAAACUGUGACGAUGAAGCCUUGCUGAGAUUGUUACAUUUUGAUUAUACAGCAUACAAGCCCUUCAUGAAAAUCAAUAGAACAGCUAUAGUGCAUUAGCUACAAAACAAGCGUCCAUUACUGCAAAAAGGAUACUGCGGUAAUAUAUUUAUUGUUCAAAUAAAGUUGAGUCAAAUCACAUUAAAUUAGCAAA